GGGAAUAUUGCACAAUGGGGGAAACCCUGAUGCAGCGACGCCGCGUGAGCGAAGAAGUAUUUCGGUAUGUAAAGCUCUAUCAGCAGGGAAGAAAAUGACGGUACCUGAGUAAGAAGCUCCGGCUAAAUACGUGCCAGCAGCCGCGGUAAUACGUAUGGAGCAAGCGUUAUCCGGAUUUACUGGGUGUAAAGGGAGCGCAGGCGGUCUGGCAAGUCUGAUGUGAAAUACCGGGGCUCAACUCCGGGACUGCAUUGGAAACUGUCAGACUGGAGUGUCGGAGAGGCAGGCGGAAUUCCUGGUGUAGCGGUGAAAUGCGUAGAUAUCAGGAGGAACACCAGUGGCGAAGGCGGCCUGCUGGACGAUGACUGACGCUGAGGCUCGAAAGCGUGGGGAGCAAACAGG
rnacentral:rRNA from 1 species